rnacentral:lncRNA from 1 species
AACUCGCUCAAAAUAGAGAUUUAACUAAUAUGGCAUCGAGGGUGGCUCUUUGAACAUCUUUUCAUCCUACCACCUUAUACCUCCGAAAAUUCUAAUAUAUUUAUUUUUUUUCAACCUUUUCAGUUAUUCAAUUAAUUUCCAUGUGGUAUCUUCACACACUUGUCGGACGACCGGGGUGGUAGCUCUUUCCUACAUGUGGUGGUAGUUUUCACACUCCUUUUGGAUGUAACUCUUUCCACAUCUUUUAAACAUAGGAGUUUUUUCUCUUUUUUUAAAAAAAAAUUCAAACUCUCCCUAAAUUAGACAAUCUCACAAUUGAAGUAAUUUUGACAAAAUUUUAGUCUAUAAGCAAAUAUCCAUCCAUCAUACACAACCAAGAUGAAUUAAUCACCAAGAGAUCAAUUUGAUUUCAAAAUUUUGAUGAAUAUAUGUAUUAAGAAUUCAUAUAAUCAAUUAUCGUCAAAAUAAUAAAAAGUGGAGUAAAACCGAUAAUUAAUAUGAAUUUAAUUCAAGAUGAAUGUGAAGUUAAAUACCGUUUAAAGCACUUUGAAAAAUUUAAUCUUUCCAAAAUAAUGAUUUUCAAUCAUCUCCUUUCUCACAAAUUUUAAAUUCCAAAACACCUUUCCUCAAAACAAUUUUUAAACAAGUAAAAUUCAAGCACCAAAAAUCAUCCAAACAUGUAAUGCAAUGAAUAAAAAUAUGCAAUAAGCACCAAUCCAAGCAUUUGAUCCAAUUUCUUCGAUCCGAAAGAAAAUUUUUGAAUAUCGGAUUGAAGUUGACGAACUUGAUCGGUCAAUGACUUGUUGGAUGUGUACGAUUCCUCAAAUUGUUGCUCCAAAAAUCCAACCUUGUCUUUAUAAGAUUUGAUCAUUGAUUCCGCUUCAUCUAGCUUCUCUUGGAGGAUUGAAUUAUUUUUCAAAUUUUAUUCCCUUUCCUCCUCAAGAGCUUUCUUCAUUGU